rnacentral:rRNA from 1 species
AGAUGGCGACCGGCGCACGGGUGAGUAACACGUAUCCAACCUGCCGAUAACUCGGGGAUAGCCUUUCGAAAGAAAGAUUAAUACCCGAUGGUAUAAUCAGACCGCAUGGUUUGAUCAUUAAAGAAUUUCGGUUAUCGGUGGGGAUGCGUUCCAUUAGGCAGUUGGUGAGGUAACGGCUCACCAAACCUUCGAUGGAUAGGGGUUCUGAGAGGAAGGUCCCCCACAUUGGAACUGAGACACGGUCCAA